rnacentral:lncRNA from 1 species
CAGAGAGCUUUGAGCUUUUUGAUUGUUAGAGUGAGAUUUCCUGAAAUUGACAAUAGUGACUCUGUUCUCUUCCUUCCACCUACAGCGUACAGAGACAAUGCAAGAAACAGAAGACAAGGACAUGCCAUCACCUUUGUGCUUUUAGGAAUCAAGAAUUCAUGGAGUUACAUCAAGGAAUGGUGGCUACCUGAAUGUGAAUGUCCCAAUACAACCUAUAAAAGCUAUGUAAAUCCACAAAAGAAAAAUUUAAAACCACAGGAAUCCCAUUCUUUAGAAUGACAAGUCAGAGUACAAUACAGAGUUCAACUUACCUGUAAAUAGAAAAAUGAAAACCAAUUUCCGGUGGAGCUAUUUUUCAACUUCCCACCCAAGAUUUCCAGAGAGCAAAGUGUGGAAAAACUCUGCAGAGGAGAGAACAGAGAGAACCUAAGAGCAACACUUCUGGGGAGAUAAGAACAAAGAGUUCUUUGGAAACUGCAGAGUGAAAGGAAAAAGAAGCAAAAAGGAAAAAUUUAGACUUUUGAAAGAUAAAUGCAAAUAAGAAACAUCAUAAGACAUAUUUUUCUCCACUUUUCCCCCCACACUAAAGGCAUUUUCUUUGCCACACUCACAGAAGAGGGUGAUCUAGAACCAGGAAUCUUGUAAACCUCCCAAAUUUUCAUCCCUGCUUACUAAAUGCAGACAUGCGAGCAAUCUUCAUUUAUGCUAAGAAGAAAAUCGAGAGUUAGAAUCAAAAUCUUUCACCCAAUAAAAGUUGUCUCUAAAAGCCA